rnacentral:lncRNA from 1 species
GGACUGCUUCUUCCAACUUCUACUCUUUGUUAGAGAUGUAAUUGUAGUGGAAGUACCUCUCACACUUCCUCAACCAAUAACAAGUAUUAGACCCUGUUGCACCAUCAAAGUGGGAAAAUUCUAUAUAGAAACCAUGAUUAUUGUGAUGAGCCCUCUCCACCAACAAGGAAUUGUUAACCCUUGGUCUGUUUCCCAUUUCCCCACUUGUUGAUCCUCCAAUGGAACACUGCCCAAGACUCCCGCAUGAUUUGAAAGAAGUUUCUCCAUCAACAGAUCAAACUUCUUUCCGAAAUUAUCGAGUUUAGCUCAUCACAAUCGAAUUUUUCAGCUG